CUAGCUACUUGUCAUUCAGUGCCCAACACCCUACAAUUACAAAUUUUAAUGAGGAUUAGAUUUAAUUAAAGUGCACUCCGGCUGUUCUACGGUUCAUUCUCCCACUGUAUUAUGUAUGAGCCAUUUGUCACAUUGGCUUGUUGCCCCCUCCUUUCUCCUCCCACGUCGCCAUUUGUAUAAAUACCAAUCUCCAAAUGACCACUGCAAUAAUCUGGUAAACGAAACACAAUAAACGAAUUGGAGAAGUAAUUAAUGGGGUCAAGCAGAGGUUGCUGCUCCAAUGGUACUACCAUCACGGCAGCCAUGAUGAUCAUGGUGGUGGUUUCAAUCACCAGAACGGCGACAGGACAACAGCUGACGGAGAACUACUACAUUGGAAGCUGCCCGAACGUGGAGGCGGUAGUACAGAAGGUGAUAGCGGCCAAAGCACGCAAGCAGUUCGCAACCAUCCCGGGCACGCUCCGUCUCUUUUUCCAUGACUGCUUCGUUA
rnacentral:lncRNA from 1 species